CAGCUAUCAUCAAACAAAUGCGUAAAGAGAUGAAUACCCCGCUGUGCACCCCGAUUUCGGUUGAAGAAUUACUCUUCUACUUUGGUUUUCUUCGAAUUAUGCAGUCACCAGUUUUUGAGCAUCUUUCAAUCACAAGUAUUUGGUGGGAAUGUGAAACACUAUGCGGAGAAGACAUGCAAGCAACUCAGCUCACAUGUAAGGGUGAGAAAAUUUUGCUGUAAAUGGAAUUAUACGGCUGAGAUUCCCACAAGCUAAGAAUGAAGAUAGAGACAAGAGAACCAAUGGGAGUGGAGGGAAGAGAACAGCAGCAAGAAGGGGAAGAAGGGGAAGGAAAAAAAGGAGAAGAAGGAGAAAAAGAUGGUAAUCUGUCCGGUGUGUUUGCAUGAAGUUGUUGAGAAGAGCAUACUUAACCACCAAAGUCACCACAAUGGAAAAUAUUUUGUUUGUCCAACGUGCUCGGUGAAGUAUAAGUCGAAGAGAGACAUGUGGUCUCAUCAAGAAAAGGAUAACCACAAAUAAUAAAUCAACGGUCUCACCACCCCUAUCUAUCUAUAUUUAUCUGUUGUGUCUUUCUUCUCUUAAUCUGAAGUAUGAAUCUAAAGUAUGAAUCUGCUCAUUGU